rnacentral:rRNA from 1 species
GUGCGUGCCGUUGGUUGUGCACGUCCAAUUUGUGAGUUGAGAAACGAGGCAAAUCCCGUUUCUAGAUACAUCAAGCUGUGAUGGCAAGAGGUUUACCUCAGAGUCCCUGAUUUCACACUGCCAAGAAAAGCCUCUAGCGAGGCGGGAGGUGCCCGUACCGCAAACCGACACAGGUAGGCGAGAAGAGAAUUCUAAGGUGAGCGAGUGAACUCUCGUUAGGGAACUCGGC